CUUCAUUUCCAGAUUACUGAAAUAGAGCAAGAAGGAAGAAUUUCACGGGUUUAAAUCCCACUGAAAAGCUAAGCCUGAUCCUGACCCUGGGUUUAAAAAAAGGAAAGCUGCGUCAGGAGGGAUAUUAAACUGUGUAAACGUUCCUUUAAUUAUUAUCUCACAUUUCUUUCUCCAGGUCAAAGCUCCACACAAAAAAGAAUGACUGAUCAUGUGACCAAUUAAUCAGUGAAUCCUGAAUCUAAUAUUCAGGAUUCAACAAUUAAUUGGUCACAUGAUCAGUAGGACUUCAGUGCAGUUUGACCCUGAGUCGCUCUGUAGAGACACUGUAUAUAUGUGCAUAUAUAGUCAACAUAUUUAACAUGAAUAUAUGAGAAAAUGUGGCGUUAAAAAAAAGUAAUUUCAAUGAAAGGAAAAAGAAAGAAACCCAUGACACUACAUUAAAUGAUCUGGAAUGUUCUGAAGAAGCUGGUUAGACAAUUUUAAAAAUAGCAGUGACAAUGAGAGCAUGUUCUAAAACCAAAUUGUUAGUAAUUAACACCGUCUUGAAACCAUAACUGUGACCAGGCGUUGAGUUGUUCACUUUGAAAACUGUAACAUUUACUGCAGAGAAUAAACUCCAGGUUCUUGGUCUUUACCAGAUAUCACUUCCUCUGUCUGUGAAACCACAGUCUUCUUAUCAAUGUUAUUCAUCGUCUGAUAUUCCAGCUGACGGUGACUUUUUAGGUUGAACAUGGGUGUGACACGAGCUGAAUGUAACUUUUAGUUAAGCCGCAGUCACAGACAGAACGUUAAAUAAGCAGAAGCCGCCGGUCCCCGGGUGAGGAAUUAAAGUGGUCCUGGGGGGAAAGGGAAGAAGCCAGACUUAAUUUGUCCCAGCACAAAGAGAUUGACUUAAAUGUCUACAUCUAUACAAACAGCUGUUUGCAUAAAUCCAAGUAUUUGGUAUUCUGUCAUUACGGGCAUAGAAAACAGCUGCAUGAAUGUUUAAGAGGUUACAAACAGCAGAUUUACGACUCUAAUCGUCGAAUCGUUGUGUCAGUUGAUCAAUGACAGGCUAACUGUUGAAUGUUAGACUCGUGUUUCACAGUUGACACAUCAUUCAAGGGAUUGAAGCUGUUAGUGUUUUUACGUCACACAUUGAGCUGCUUCUGCUGAUACUGCUGAGUCGUUAUGUCUGUAUUAGCCUAGAUCCUAGUUGCUAAUAUUAAGCUAUUACUUAGUUGUUGAUUUUUUUAAUUUUUUAAUCCUAAACUAUACUUCACUACUUUUUGGUUUACAAACUUUUACUUUUUUGUUACCUGUUGACUAACAAUAACACCUUAAAUAAUAGUUAGCUUCUGGCUAAUUAUACAGCACCACGUCUUUAUAGCAACUAUUAGCAUGUUGUCUGGCUAAGAAUAUUUGACUAUUAUUUUCAUGUAGGUCCAUUUAUCUAUAUACUGCGUUAGUUAUCUGUUAGCUGUCUAAGUUAACAGUCAAAGUUUGUUUUUCCAGGCUUCCCUACUUUGUCUUCUUCUUUACCUUCUUCUUACAUUCUUUGGCUAAUUUUUAGCCAUUUUUGUUUAGCCAUUAAUAUCCUAUCUGGAUAUUUUGGGGUUUGAUUUAGCCAAAAGUACACAUUGGGACAUUUAUUGUUUUUGUCCAGUGUAAGUGCCUCAAAAACUGCUGUAUAUUUAGUCCAACUUACACAGUCACAGACAUGUUUGCAUGUCUGCUGACAUGAUGCGGUGUCUGUGUGUGUGUGUGGGUGUGUGUGUGUUUAUAUAUGUAAUUGCCCAUGUGGUUUCUGUGGCGCUGCAGUACAACUGUUUUCAGACUCAAACUUCACACAUUUCUGCUCUAAACGACGUAGAAAGCCUGUCCGUGGGACUUCUAUUCACUUUGACUCUGCAUGUUAAAUGAACAGAGGUAAAGCUCAUUCUGAUGCAGAGAUUAUUCUAACAAACUGUGGCCAAUUCCACCGAAUAAAGAAAUAACAGUUGAGGAUCUGCAGAAUAAAAGUCUCCAAACGGAUAUUAUUUCAGACACAUUUGGCUCAGAGCGCAUAAACAAUUUGAGGAUGGUGUAGCAGCGAAAACUGUUAUUAACGCAGGACUGAAAGCUCAGAAAAUAGAAAAAGAGAAACGCCGACGUUAGAACACAGACGAUGCUGAAGGAGAAGAGCGGAGAGCUGUUUAAAAACCGCACAGUGCCUAACGGAGCUGCGGCUUCUGAAGCUCACAUGACAGUCUCUCAGCAGCUUCAUGACCUUCAGAUAAACUUAAAGCUCCGCUCCCACUGUUGGAGCAGAUACUGUUUACUCUGAAAGAGUCUGGGCGCCAGCACCGCGAGCAUCAGCCACACCAGGCUGCGGUGAAAGACGCACUGAUGGUUGACACCCGGCUGGGUCAAGACCACUGAUGAACUGUGCUGUACGAGAACAGGAAACGGGCUGAGGCGUCGGCGAUCUGACACACGCUUCAAGGUCACGUCAGAACAAGAAUUAAAGCCGACACAGAAGUCUGAUGUCUCCAGUGGCUGAUUUACAUACCGCCAUAGAGAAUCAUCUCUCUCUUUUAAAACACCCACAUGUUCUCAGAACUAACAUGUAUGUACUUAAAACUAAUGUCUAUGUACUCAGAACUAACGUAUAUGUUCUCAAAUCUCGCAUACAUGUACUCAGAACUCAACUAUAUAUUCUCUGAAUUCACCCGUGUUCUAAGAACUCAUAUAUAUGUACUCAUACAUCCCCUAUAUGUACUCAGAAGUUGCAUAUAUGUUCCUGGAAAUCAUGAAUUUAGUUCAUAACAUCCUUCAUUAUCAAUUUCCACCUAGAUCUGAUGAUCUUAACCAGCUACAGCAGUGGGAUUAGGACGUAUUUUGUUGACAGACUGAGCCAUGCUGUGUCUUACAAGUGUGAUAACACCUGACACGGUCUGAUUUAGACUUGAUGAGUCCAGCUGUGAUUUGUGACUUUGUGCCUGUGCUCAUAAGGUGGUGCAGGGUUGUUGUUGUUGAUGUUGUUGAUGUUGUGUUCACUUUUCACUUUCACACCAAAUCAAUGUUGGACUUCCAGCUCAGCUGCUGAGGCUGAGACUGAUGAUUGGAAAGUACCAGAGUUUGAAAAGAUAAAAAACAUCUGAGCUUUUAAGGGUUGACGUUUGGUACCAUGACAGGAGAAGGCUCCAGCUCUACUCUGUCCUGCCUUCACCGUGUAAACACUACGACUGGGUCUCUAUAAAUAGACCUAAAGCCUUGGGGCAGUUCAGCCUAAGCAAGGCUGUCCAGUGAGAAAAAAACAGAGAAAAGGGACAGCACUAAUAUUCCUUCUUCUCUCUCCGGCGAGAUCCUGUAAACGUAAGCAAGAAGCGACCGUUGAACUUUGUCCAAACACUGCAAGAAACGACUUACAGCAGCAAGUCAUCAUGUAAGACAGUUCAGCUCUCUACAACUGUUUACACCAAGGAAACCAGUACCGGGAACUAGAUAACAGAACUGUCCUACUGAUCAGUCUGAUCUCUAUCCCAGAAACAGGACCAUUUUUGGACUCUAUCUAUCAACUGAUACAAAUCAACUAAUGCUAAUGUUUGUCAAAUCUAUACCUUCGUACUGGGACUGUCAAACGAUAGCCAAACAAAAUGUUUCCAAUUCAAUUUCUACAGUUGACACCUCAGUGUCCUUUCUCAGUUCAAGUAGAAUGUGCAUUUUAUGACUUUCCACUGAGUUUUUAUAUUCACUUUUCUUCCUGAAGAAAUUUUUAUGAAGCCCAAAGUGGGUGUAAUGUCUGUGCUCUGCCCCAGACGCCAAGGUGUAGCAUAAAUUAUGAGGCAUACCAUUACCGCACAGUGGCUAACAUAAAGAAAAUGGAAUGCCACUUAUUACUUAUUUAUGGUCAGAGUUUCUCCAUUUAGAUCUUUUAUUACUUUUGGCUUUUCUUUCUCCGAGGUUGUGACGAACACCUACUUCCAUUGUCCAUUUAGUUGUUAAUAUAAACGCUGGUGAGUGUAAUUCAGUUUCUGACAAAUUCUGAUUUAUUUAAAUAUCUUUAUUUUCAUAUAUUCUCCCAUUAUGAUAUCUAUUGUCACCAAAGGGAAAAAUGUUGUUGAGUUAGUACUUCGAUUUAAUACUUACAAAACUACCGGUGUUGAUCAUAAUGUUGGAAAUCAGUCUGUUAUUGGUUGUGCAUUAAGUAUAUUAAAUAUGUCUUUUUUUUUUACAUUUACGAAAGAAUUUGCUUCUAGGUGUCUCUUUAUUUAGACAGAAUUGUGGUUUUAUUUUGGUUUUAGCACCACCUAUGUUAGCAUUGUAACAUUUACAGAACGACUGUUCAGCAGUUCUCCACCACUGUGUCGAAGGACUGUUCUUUUUGUUGUCCAUUUUAAUAUUUUACUUGUCUCCAAUGCCUGCUGCGAUUCAGGUAUUUUUAUUCAGUCCAAGUUGAAAAUGUGAAAACUGCAGCGCGCAACUUUGAUUCAUCUCUGUGACACAGACUCCGUAUCCAUACAGAUGAGACGUGAACCUCCCUCCUGCUCUGCAGUCACUUCAUAAUCAUUAAUUCCCAGUGAUUCAGUGACUGAAUGACCACGGCACGAUGCCAUUCUGAACGCCAAUGACCCUUGGGAUGAACCUAACUCGCUCCAAACCAUUCCUCACGCUGUGACUUCAUACCCCACUCUGAUUUAUAUCUGCUGUGUAGCACACACAGAUGCAGCCCGGCAGACAGCGGGCUAAUGGCUUUCUAGUGGUCCCCAGAAAUACUGGAGGGAGCUGGUCAGCGUCUCAGCUUUUCUUUCCCUUCCAAAUAACUUUAAAACAUGCCAGAAUGCUUGUCCCCUCCACACUCGUCCCCUCCUAAACUUCACUGCGCUGCUUUAACUGCCGUAAAUCACCUUGAAUUAGAGCAACGCAUAAAGAAGAAAAUGGAAAAGUGCAGUGAGCCAGUUAGCUCUCUCCGACACCUACACACCACCUGGAGAACACUUUUCAGAGCACACUUGUUAGGGAGCCCUUAGCUCAGUCAGUGAAGCAUGAGAGUACUAAUCUCCAGCGCCUUUAAAUUACCGACCCAGCCCCUCGUCGCUUCAGCAUCAUUACGAAGAAACGAUUUACGAGGCCCAACACAAGCCAAGUCCAUCCACGGUACGUGAUCAGGUGGUUUCAAUGUCCCUCCUCUCACUUUUGCUAUUACUUCCUGAAGUUCACUUGAACUUUUUCUACUUCCUCUCUCUUUCCAGGAGGUUUAGAGGACAGAAGCACCGGUUCCUGUAGAGCAGGUCAGAUUCAGGAACCAAAGAAAUUGUCAUUUUGCAACUGUCAAAAAAUUUUUUGGGUCACACACAGUGGUUUGGGCAAAACGACCAUAGCUGUGAAUGUGAAAGUGAAUCCUGGUUGUUUGGAUCAGCAUUUCUUAGGGCAGAAAUUCCAACUUGUUUUGACCACAGUCCUAGGGCAUUCAC